rnacentral:rRNA from 1 species
CCUACGGGAGGCAGCAGUGAGGAAUCUUCGUCAAUGGGCGCGAGCCUGAACCAGCCAAGUAGCGUGAAGGAUGACUGCCCUCCGGGUUGUAAGCUUCUUUUAUGGAGGAAUACAGUGAGGCACGUGUGUCUUUUUGUAUGUACUUUAUGCAUCAGGAUCGGCUAACUCCGUGCCAGCCGCCGCGGUAAUACGGUGGGUACGAGCGUUAUCCGGAUUGAUUGGGUUUAAAGGGAGCGUAGACGGGUUGUUAAGUUAGUUGUGAAAGUUUGCGGCUCAACCGUAGAAUUGCAGUGGAUACUGGCAGACUUGAGUGCAGUAGAGGUAGGCGGAAUUCGAGGUGUAGCGGUGAAAUGCUUAGAUAUAACGAAGAACGCCGAUGGCGAAGGCAGCCUACUGAACUGCCACUGACGCUGAGGCUCGAAAGUGUGGGUAGCGAACAGGAUUAGAUACCCGAGUAGUC